rnacentral:rRNA from 1 species
AUGGCGACCGGCGCACGGGUGAGUAACGCGUAUCCAACCUGCCCUUUACUAUGGGACAGCCCGUCGAAAGGCGGAUUAAUACCGUAUGUUGUCAUGUUGAUGCAUAUUUUCAAGACCAAAGGCUUCGGCCGGUAAAGGAUGGGGAUGCGUCUGAUUAGCUUGCCGGCGGGGUAACGGCCCACCGGGGCGACGAUCAGUAGGGGUUCUGAGAGGAAGGUCCCCCACAUUGGAACUGAGACACGGUCCAAACUCCUACGGGAGGCAGCAG